rnacentral:rRNA from 1 species
UACGUAGGGUGCGAGCGUUAAUCGGAAUUACUGGGCGUAAAGCGUGCGCAGGCGGUUCGUCAAGUCAGGUGUGAAAUCCCCGGGCUUAACCUAGGAAUUGCGCUUGAAACUAGCGGGCUUGAGUGUGGCAGAGGGGGGUGGAAUUCCACGUGUAGCAGUGAAAUGCGUAGAGAUGUGGAGGAACACCGAUGGCGAAGGCAGCCCCCUGGGUCAACACUGACGCUCAUGCACGAAAGCGUGGGGAGCAAACAGG